rnacentral:rRNA from 1 species
GAGACAUUACGGGAGGCAGCAGUAGGGAAUCUUCGGCAAUGGGCUAACGCCUGACCGAGCGACGCCGCGUGGGGGAAGACGGCCUUCGGGUUGUAAACCCCUUUUCUACGGGACGAACUUUGACGGUACCGUAGGAAUAAGAGGUUGCUAACUCUGUGCCAGCAGCAGCGGUAAUACAGAGACCUCAAACGUUAUCCGGAAUCACUGGGCGUAAAGCGUACCGAUCGGCGGUUUUGUAAGUCUUUGGUGAAAGCCUGGAGCUCAACUCCAGAAUCGCCAAGGAAACUAUAAGACUAGAGGUGCAAAGAGGGAGCUGGAACUUUGGGUGUAGCGGUGAAAUGCGUUGAUAUCCAAAGGAACACUAAUAGCGAAGGCAGGCUCCUGGGUGCAUUCUGACGCUGCUAGGACGAAAGCGUGGGGAGCGAAUGGGAUUAGAUACCCCAGUAGUCCACGCCGUAAACGAUGAUAACUAGUCGCCAGGCAUGUAUCGACCCUGCUUAGUGACGAAGCUAACGCGUUAAGUUAUCCGCCUGGGGAGUACGGUCGCAAGACUAAAACUCAAAGGAAUUG